UUUCUCUCUGCGCUGCUCCUUAUCUCUUGCGUCUCAGUUUCUCACUCUCUCUCUAUGCUUCCUUCCUUCAUCGUCUCAGUCUCUCACUCUGUCUAUGGAUCCCCUUCUUCCCCGUAAAAGCGAACCGCGCCAUCGGCUUCAACACCAUCACCGGCGGAUGAUCUCUGGAUUGCAUCCUCUCUCGAUUAUCUGCUCUCUCUUUCUAGUGACUGCCACUCACAUUCUAUCCCGCUCUUUCUCCGAAAUCCUACCUCUUCACCUCUGUUUUGCACCUUCACUCUUGGAAGAUUCUCAACCACUCUGGUCGUUGGUUUAGGUUUUGUGCAGCGUCGCGUCGCUUUAGUGAAUCUUCCCCGUUAUUGCACUCUGAUUCGAAGUGGGUGAGGGUUUUCAUUUCUAAAAUUAAUUUAGGUUAUCAUCAUUAUGUUUUAUA